CCCAGGGCUGUGUCCCGGGGCUGUGCCUUGUGUGGCUCCUUUGCCAGCCCCAGGCAGCCUGAGGAUCUCCUGCAGUGCUGGGAGCUGUUCUGUCCUGCCUUUCUUUGCAGAUGAACCUGUUGGUGAAGGUGAUCUGGCUUCCCAACCCACAUCCAGGACUGAGAUUCAGGCAGCUGGUGAGGGUGUGUCUGCAGGGAGGAUUUCUCUGGCUUCCUGGCUGGUUACUGCACACAAGCCCAGCUCCCAUCGCAGGGGGCCUCCGACAGGAAAGUACAGAACCAGAGGACAUAAGAAACGCUAUGAGCAAUCUGAACCGACGAUGCAAAUGCUGAAGGAAAUGCAGCAG